UGUUUUACCCAAAUGGUGUUGCAC
rnacentral:siRNA from 1 species